rnacentral:rRNA from 1 species
GAUGAACGCUGGCGGCGUGCCUAAUACAUGCAAGUCGAGCGAACAGACGAGGAGCUUGCUCCUCUGACGUAGCGGCGGACGGGUGAGUAACACGUGGAUAACCUACCUAUAAGACUGGGAUAACUUCGGGAAACCGGAGCUAAUACCGGAUAAUAUAUUGAACCGCAUGGUUCAAUAGUGAAAGACGGUUUUGCUGUCACUUAUAGAUGGAUCCGCGCCGCAUUAGCUAGUUGGUAAGGUAACGGCUUACCAAGGCGACGAUGCGUAGCCGACCUGAGAGGGUGAUCGGCCACACUGGAACUGAGACACGGUCCAGACUCCUACGGGAGGAAGCAGUAGGGAAUCUUCCGCAAUGGGCGAAAGCCUGACGGAGCAACGCCGCGUGAGUGAUGAAGGUCUUCGGAUCGUAAAACUCUGUUAUUAGGGAAGAACAAAUGUGUAAGUAACUAUGAACGUCUUGACGGUACCUAAUCAGAAAGCCACGGCUAACUACGUG